rnacentral:rRNA from 1 species
GGCGGGACACGUGGUAUCCUGUCUGAAUAUGGGGGGACCAUCCUCCAAGGCUAAAUACUCCUGACUGACCGAUAGUGAACCAGUACCGUGAGGGAAAGGCGAAAAGAACCCCGGCGAGGGGAGUGAAAAAGAACCUGAAACCGUGUACGUACAAGCAGUGGGAGCCCCACCACUAAGCCAGUGGUGAACUCCACAUACGCAUCCUUUGCUGAGGAUACGGUUAACGGAGCGAAAGCGACGUUCAACCUCAAAAGAAGCAGAGGGGGCUUAGUGGUGGGGUGACUGCGUACCUUUUGUAUAAUGGGUCAGCGACUUAUAUUCUGUAGCAAGGUUAACCGUAUAGGGGAGCCGCAGGGAAACCGAGUCUUAACCGGGCGUUAAGUUGCAGGGUAUAGACCCGAAACCCGGUGAUCUAGCCAUGGGCAGGUUGAAGGUUGGGUAACACUAACUGGAGGACCGAACCGACUAAUGUUGAAAAAUUAGCGGAUGACCUGUGGCUGGGGGUGAAAGGCCAAUCAAACCGGGAGAUAGCUGGUUCUCCCCGAAAGCUAUUUAGGUAGCGCCUCGUGAACUCAUCUCCGGGGGUAGAGCACUGUUUCGGCUAGGGGGCCAUCCCGGCUUACCAACCCGAUGCAAACUGCGAAUACCGGAGAAUGUUAUCACGGGAGACACACGGCGGGUGCUAACGUCCGUCGUGAAGAGGGAAACAACCCAGACCGCCAGCUAAGGUCCCAAAGUCAUGGUUAAGUGGGAAACGAUGUGGGAAGGCCCAGACAGCCAGGAUGUUGGCUUAGAAGCAGCCAUCAUUUAAAGAAAGCGUAAUAGCUCACUGGUCGAGUCGGCCUGCGCGGAAGAUGUAACGGGGCUAAACCAUGCACCGAAGCUGCGGCAGCGACACUAUGUGUUGUUGGGUAGGGGAGCGUUCUGUAAGCCUGUGAAGGUGGCCUGUGAGGGUUGCUGGAGGUAUCAGAAGUGCGAAUGCUGACAUAAGUAACGAUAAAGCGGGUGAAAAGCCCGCUCGCCGGAAGACCAAGGGUUCCUGUCCAACGUUAAUCGGGGCAGGGUGAGUCGACCCCUAAGGCGAGGCCGAAAGGCGUAGUCGAUGGGAAACGGGUUAAUAUUCCCGUACUUGGUGUUACUGCGAAGGGGGGACGGAGAAGGCUAUGUUGGCCGGGCGACGGUUGUCCCGGUUUAAGCGUGUAGGUGUGUGUUCCAGGUAAAUCCGGUUCACUUUAACACUGAGGCGUGAUGACGAGGCACUACGGUGCUGAAGCAACAAAUGCCCUGCUUCCAGGAAAAGCCUCUAAGCAUCAGGUAACAUCAAAUCGUACCCCAAACCGACACAGGUGGUCAGGUAGAGAAUACCAAGGCGCUUGAGAGAACUCGGGUGAAGGAACUAGGCAAAAUGGUGCCGUAACUUCGGGAGAAGGCACGCUGACAUGUAGGUGAAGUGAUUUACUCAUGGAGCUGAAGUCAGUCGAAGAUACCAGCUGGCUGCAACUGUUUAUUAAAAACACAGCACUGUGCAAACACGAAAGUGGACGUAUACGGUGUGACGCCUGCCCGGUGCCGGAAGGUUAAUUGAUGGGGUCAGCGCAAGCGAAGCUCCUGAUCGAAGCCCCGGUAAACGGCGGCCGUAACUAUAACGGUCCUAAGGUAGCGAAAUUCCUUGUCGGGUAAGUUCCGACCUGCACGAAUGGCGUAAUGAUGGCCAGGCUGUCUCCACCCGAGACUCAGUGAAAUUGAACUCGCUGUGAAGAUGCAGUGUACCCGCGGCAAGACGGAAAGACCCCGUGAACCUUUACUAUAGCUUGACACUGAACAUUGAGCCUUGAUGUGUAGGAUAGGUGGGAGGCUUUGAAGUGUGGACGCCAGUCUGCAUGGAGCCGACCUUGAAAUACCACCCUUUAAUGUUUGAUGUUCUAACGUGGACCCGUAAUCCGGGUUGCGGACAGUGUCUGGUGGGUAGUUUGACUGGGGCGGUCUCCUCCUAAAGAGUAACGGAGGAGCACGAAGGUUGGCUAAUCCUGGUCGGACAUCAGGAGGUUAGUGCAAUGGCAUAAGCCAGCUUGACUGCGAGCGUGACGGCGCGAGCAGGUGCGAAAGCAGGUCAUAGUGAUCCGGUGGUUCUGAAUGGAAGGGCCAUCGCUCAACGGAUAAAAGGUACUCCGGGGAUAACAGGCUGAUACCGCCCAAGAGUUCAUAUCGACGGCGGUGUUUGGCACCUCGAUGUCGGCUCAUCACAUCCUGGGGCUGAAGUAGGUCCCAAGGGUAUGGCUGUUCGCCAUUUAAAGUGGUACGCGAGCUGGGUUUAGAACGUCGUGAGACAGUUCGGUCCCUAUCUGCCGUGGGCGCUGGAGAACUGAGGGGGGCUGCUCCUAGUACGAGAGGACCGGAGUGGACGCAUCACUGGUGUUCGGGUUGUCAUGCCAAUGGCACUGCCCGGUAGCUAAAUGCGGAAGAGAUAAGUGCUGAAAGCAUCUAAGCACGAAACUUGCCCCGA